rnacentral:rRNA from 1 species
AAUAUUGGACAAUGGGCGAAAGCCUGAUCCAGCCAUGCCGCGUGUGUGAAGAAGGUCUUCGGAUUGUAAAGCACUUUAAGUUGGGAGGAAGAGUUGUAGGCUAAUACCUUGCAAUUUUGACGUUACUAACAGAAUAAGCACCGGCUAACUUCGUGCCAGCAGCCGCGGUAAUACGAAGGGUGCAGGCGUUAAUCGGAAUUACUGGGAGUAAAGCGCGCGUAGGUGGUUCGUUAAGUUGGAAGUGAAAGCCCCGAGCUUAACCUGGGAAUUGCUUUCAAAACUGACGAGCUCGAGUACAGUAGAGGGUAGUGGAAUUUCCUGUGUAGCGGUUAAAUGCGUAGAUAUAGGAAGGAACAUCAGUGGCGAAGGCGACUACCUGGACUGAUACUGACACUGAGGUGCGAAAGCGUGGGGAGCAAACAGG